rnacentral:lncRNA from 10 species
GCAGGCCCGGAUCUGCAGAGACUGCGGGCCUCGGGGACUGGCUGAGCCGUACCAAGCACAGGGGACGCGCCGCCGCAGAGAGGUAGCUGCGGCCGAACCACUGCAACUUCUACUGAAUUAUAAUGUUAUUUUAAAUGGUCAAGGCCUAGAAAAGAAAAAGGGACUUUGAUUCAUUUCAUAGUUUAAUAUUAAUAUAGUUAACAUAGUUCAUCUAAUCUGCCAAUGAUUAUAAAACUCACAUUAUGUACCAUUACGCUUCUUAGCACUUAGAAUUUUUAUUUUAAGUUUACUGAAAGCACUGCUUUGGGUUUUUCUUUCUUUCUUUUUUUCUGAGACGGAGUCUCGCUCAGUAGCCUAGGCUGGAGUGCAGUGGCGAGAUCUCGGCUCACUGCAAACUCCGCCUCCCGGGUUCAUGCCAUUCUCCUGGCUCAGCUUCCGGAGUAGCUGGGACUACAGGCGCCCGCCACCACGCCCAGCUAAUUUUUUUGUAUUUUUAGUAGAGAUGGGGUUUCACUGUAUUAGCCAGGAUGGUCUGGAUCUCCUGACCUCGUGAUCCGCCCACUUGGGAUUACAGGCAUCAGCCACCGCGCCUGGCCUGCUUUGGGCUUAUUUUAAGAGAUUUUUGAACAUCUAUCAUUCUUCAGCUUUUUUUUUUUUUUUUUUUUUUUUUUUUUUGAGACAGUCUCACUCUGGUCAUCCAGGCUGGAGUGCAGUGGCACGUUCUCGGCUCACUGCAACCUCUGCCUCCUGGUUCAAGCAAUUCUCUUGCCUCAACUGGGAUUACAGGCAUGUGCCACCACGUCUGGCUAAUUUUUUUUUUUUUUUUAAAGUAGAGAUGGGGUUUCACCAUGUUGGCCAGGCUGGUCUCGAACUCCUGGCCUCAGGUGAUGCGCCCGCCUUGGCCUCCCAAAGUGCUGGGAUUACAGGCCUGAGCCACCGCGCCUGGCCUCAUUCUUCUUCAUUUAUAAAAAAGGAAAUAGCUUCAUGCUCAGAGUUUUGCUCUUUUGGAUCACUUUCCAAGUCAAAGCUGCUGAUGUCAGCAUUUCUCUAUGUAAUACUGUCCUCUGUACCAAAAAGCAAGAGUAAUAAGACCUUUUCCAAAAGAAGCAUCCAUUAUCGUCUCUGUGAUUUUUUCCAAACUUCUGACGUUCCGUUGGCAAGUUUUGAUGCCGUAGCUUUCUUGUUCUUGCCAGCAGGUGUCAAUGGAAGGUUUCAGGCAAGUUCACACAGGCACAGGCACAGGCACAGGUGAUGAUAACUGUCAUGACAGCCCUGGCCAACAGCAAUCAUCAGCCUUAUCCUGAUUUCAGAGAUGUUAAAAUGUGAAAAAAUAUGCAUCAUGGAAUCAAUGAAAUGUAGUAGUACACAACCAGAAAAUUUUUAACCUCACACAUGGAAUACAGGCACAAUCAUCCUAGAUAUUAGCAACUGGAACCCUGCAAUGUAUCUACAGAAUAACGACCAAAUACCCAGACCUUUAUUUUGAGAAGCAGUUGGGCAGUUAACAGGAAGAGAAAUUGAGUGAAGAUAAUGAAGUCAUG